GGGCCCGUAGCUCAGCCUGGAGAGAGCGGCGGGCUUUUAGGGAAGAUACCCGUAGGUCCCGGGUUCAAAUCCCGGCGGGCCCGCCA
rnacentral:tRNA from 1 species